rnacentral:lncRNA from 1 species
UACACAACUUUUUUCUUAGUGAGAAUACUGCCUGCUGUCACUAGCAUAACAGAAGAAAUAACAGAAGAAACAACUGAUAGUUGUUUUAAACCGAGAGCGCGGAGAUCAGCGUCUGCACUCUGUUUAUUUUCCUUUUAGAACAAGUAAUCUGGGUUUGAAAAUUUUUUUUAAUUCAAAUGCCAUCUUUGGCUUUUCGGCUUUGCGAAUAAUUUAAGUCCAAGUUCAUGCUGUGGACUGACAAGAACAAAGAAUUUGGGUUCCCAGCCUUUUUUUGAAAAGACAAAUGGCUUUUCAGCUUUGAGAAAUAAUUUAAGUCCACUAUCUACUGUGUGCUAACAAGAGGACAGCAGAGAUCUGCCAACCUCAGACCUUUAUCUACUGGCCUAGAAAUUCAAGUGUUCGUAUUGGUGGAGGCCAUUAUUUCUGGUUAGAAGCCAUCUAGACCGCCUGCUCCUCAACUCAAAGGAAUCCACAGGUAUAUUUGCAAAGUGUUUCCAAAUUUUUUGGUAAAUUUUAUCUGUAUG